CGUAACUGUCACAAAGGCAAGAACUUUAUUUGACUUGGCUGCUGUCUUUUGUUAGAGACAGGAAAAAACUGUUGUUGACCAGAAACAAUGGCUUGCUGAUGGGGAGGAGCUCAGGUUAGGGAUAGGAUUUGUUAAUGGAUUUAAGGAGGAGUUGAUAGGAAAGGAAGAAACAAGCAUGACUCCUAGGUGUGUGGCUUUAGCUUCUGGGUGGGGUCAGUUAUUGACAUAAGGAAGGCUGUGGGGAAGAAGAGAUUUCGGGAAGAAAAUUGUUAAAUUCAGUUUUGCACAUGUUAAGUUUGAAAUUUCUGAAUGAGGGUCCUACCUGGUCUCCCUUAUACUCCAUUACGGUAUCUGCUCACUGGGCAGCAGCAAGAGGAGCCUCUUAAACUGUAACUCAACGUUGGAUGUAAGCCAUCCAACGACUCCACCUCUAGCUACAAGGAAAAGCCAAAGUCAUGACCUUGUCUCCUGCACACAUCCUCACUCCUUCCCUUCCGGCUGCGCUGUUCUCCUGCUAUCCCUUGGACAUACCAGGUACAUUCCCACUUCAGGAUCUUUGCAGUGUAUCUUCCUUUUUGGGGGAAUGCUCUUCCUACAGGUGUGUCAUGGCUACGUCAGCCUAGAGGAGACUCAGAUGUCUUCAGGGACCAAACCGCACUGAAUCCAUAUGGAGUUGUUCCCUUUCUUGAUUGUGAGCCCCUCCAGAAGGAGCUGGUCCACACUCAUUGUCUAAUCUGCUGCCUGUCACCUUGUGGCACUGCACAGUGUGCAGUACCUUCCCUGACCAGGGAUCAAACCUGUGCCCUCUACAGUGGAUGCAUGAAGUCUUAGCCAUUGGACCACCAGAGAAGUUCUGUUAAAUUACUUUAAAAGGAGCAAACAUCUAGAUCCUGAGCUACUUGGGAGUUACAGCAAUUUACACGUACAGUUGAGAGGCCCCAUCCUCCUGCCUUGCUUCCACCAUCUGCCUUUAUCUGAAUACUCUUCAUGCGACAGUGUGAAAAUGGAGAAAAAGGUGGUCAUUUGAAAUUGUUUCUUUGGAUUCCUUGACAGAGGAACAAACUCACUGCCGAAAAUAUCACAAAUUCUUGCAAUGAAGCAAUGAUAAAA